UACGAAGGGUGCAAGCGUUAAUCGGAAUUACUGGGCGUAAAGGGUGCGUAGGCGGUUCGUUAAGUCUGUCGUGAAAUCCCCGGGCUCAACCUGGGAAUGGCGAUGGAUACUGGCGAGCUAGAGUGUGUCAGAGGAUGGUGGAAUUCCCGGUGUAGCGGUGAAAUGCGUAGAGAUCGGGAGGAACAUCAGUGGACGAAGGCGGCCAUCGUGGGACAACACGU
rnacentral:rRNA from 1 species